UACGUAGGGUGCAAGCGUUGUCCGGAAUUAUUGGGCGUAAGGAGCUCGUAGGCGGUCUGUCGCGUCGGAUGUGAAAAUCCAGGGCUCAACCCUGGACCUGCAUUCGAUACGGGCAGACUAGAGUUCGGUAGGGGAGACUGGAAUUCCUGGUGUAGCGGUGAAAUGCGCAGAUAUCAGGAGGAACACCGGCGGCGAAGGCGGCACUCUGGGCCGGUACUGACGCUGAGGAGCGAAAGCGUGGGUAGCAAACAGG
rnacentral:rRNA from 1 species